rnacentral:rRNA from 1 species
GAUGAACGCUGGCGGCGUGCCUAAUACAUGCAAGUCGAGCGAAGUUUUUCUGGUGCUUGCACUAGAAAAACUUAGCGGCGAACGGGUGAGUAACACGUAAAGAACCUGCCUCAUAGACUGGGACAACUAUUGGAAACGAUAGCUAAUACCGGAUAACAGCAUUAACUGCAUGGUUGAUGUUUGAAAGUUGGUUAUGCUAACACUAUGAGAUGGCUUUGCGGUGCAUUAGCUAGUUGGUGGGGUAAAGGCCCACCAAGGCGACGAUGCAUAGCCGACCUGAGAGGGUGAUCGGCCACACUGGGACUGAGACACGGCCCAGACUCCUACGGGAGGCAGCAGUAGGGAAUCUUCCGCAAUGGGCGAAAGCCUGACGGAGCAACGCCGCGUGAGUGAAGAAGGAUUUCGGUUCGUAAAGCUCUGUUGUUAGGGAAGAAUGGAUAUGUAGUAACUAUACAUGUACGAGACG